rnacentral:rRNA from 1 species
UCCAGACUCCUACGGGAGGCAGCAGUGGGGGAUAUUGCACAAUGGGGGGAACCCUGAUGCAGCGACGCCGCGUGGGUGAAGAAGCGCCUCGGCGCGUAAAGCCCUGUCAGCAGGGAAGAAAAUGACGGUACCUGAAGAAGAAGCCCCGGCUAACUACGUGCCAGCAGCCGCGGUAAUACGUAGGGGGCAAGCGUUAUCCGGAUUUACUGGGUGUAAAGGGAGCGUAGACGGCGGCGCAAGUCUGGAGUGAAAUCCCGGGGCUCAACCCCGGAACUGCUUUGGAAACUGCGCGGCUCGAGUGCAGGAGGGGCAGGCGGAAUUCCUAGUGUAGCGGUGAAAUGCGUAGAUAUUAGGAGGAACACCAGUGGCGAGGGCGGCCUGCUGGACUGUAACUGACGUUGAGGCUCGAAAGCGUGGGGAGCAAACAGGAUUAGAUACCCCGGUA